ACGCGCACACACACCCACGUUGGAUCCCAUCUCUCUCGUCUUCCUCGAUCCCCUUUCUCCACCUCAUGCCGGCACCAGAUUUCGGCGAUCCCCGCCGUACCCCACCGCCCAGCUCUCCUCCCCGAGGUCACCUCUCCCUGCUCACCAUCUCCACCGACCGGUUUCUCUCCUCGCCCAGGAGAGUCCCGCCUCCUCGCUGCCAAGGCCGCCGCGGCCCACCGCCUCGAGCGCCGCGCCGCAGACCUCGCCUCCCGCGCCCUCAACGCCCGCGCUGACAUCGACGCUACCCACGCGCGCCGCCUCGCCAUUGCCCGCGGCAUCAGCUUGACCAACGGCGAGAUCGAGGACGCGCAGCAGAAGGCGGAGGAGUGGGACCGCUUCUACGAGUCCAAUAGGAAGGAGAUGGAGGAGUUCCGGCCGUCGUCUCCAUAGCCUCCAUCCACCGCGGCCACCGCCACUUCUCAACCCCAUGAGCAGUCUCCUGGCCUAGUUCCUCGUCACCGUCCUCCUCCCGGUCCCUAUCCACCUCCAUCUCCAACGGUCCAGCCCAUAGCGAGAUCUCCGGCACCGUGCAGCUACCAGGGCCGAGCAUAGAGAGAGACGCCCCCACCCCACCCCCGAGCCCUUCAACUUGCCUCCCGCCUUGACGGCUGCAGGCCCACACAUACGCCCAUGGCCAUUUUUAAGGACCCGUUCAGGAGGGGUGACAACCUCCUUGUUAUAUGCGACUGCUACACACCACAAGGUGUUCCAAUCCCCACCAACAAGAGGCAUAAUGCUGCCAAGAUCUUCAACACCUCGAAGGUUGCAGCUGAGGAGACAUGGCGUACACUCUCCUCUAGAAGGAUGUGAACUGGCCCCUUGGCUGGCCCAUUGGUGGCUACCCUGGUUCUCAGGCAAGAAAACUCUCAGCAUGCUCUCCAGCUUUCCAUGUGUUAAACUUACAUAAAAACUGAACAUUGCAUUUCACCAAGUGAAAUGCUACAUUUCUACUCCUAACCCAUUCUCUCUUUCUUAGUGUAUUUGUUAUGCAGGUUGGAAGAAAAGAAGAAGAUCCUGAGAAGAUCUUAGUAAUAAGAUAGUUUUUAGGAAAAUAGAUAUUUAGUUUUAGGUCAUUUCUUGUAAUUUCAGAUAUGGAGUGCUUGUCUAUAGUUUUUGUUUUGACUUUGUGAAACUUGCUACCUAUGGAUG